AUAAAUCAUGUUAUGAUAAACAAGCAUAAUAUAAGUGCAGAAAUGUAAAUAACGCAGUAAUUUAAGUGAUUCAGCACGAAAACCUACAUCUACGGGGGUUUUGAGAGAUUUCCACUACGAGUUUAGAUUUUCACUACGAGUUUAAGGUAACUACAAAGAUAAGUCGAAUGACAUUGAUCGGAGGGAAAGAUAAGAUUACACGAAGGUUGCUCAUACCCAAUACUUACUUUCUUUCUCCUAGAAUACUUCUUGUCAGUCCGAAUUUGCUAAUCCCUUGUCAUUUGGUGGAGUUGGGUAUUUAUAGGGUUUUCGUGUGGAUCCCCCUUUAAUACAGCUGUUAACAACUUUCUUGGUCUUCCUGCCCAUAACGUUGAUGAAUGAUGCUUCAGAAGUAUCAUCCUGCUACGACGGUCUGCCUCUCAUUCACUUCGUCGUUAUCCUGAGUCUUCUCUUCAGCGAUCUCCUAUAGUGAGCCCGCCGCAAGGAAUUGCUCUGAAGGUGGAUAUUGGUGCCAAAGGGUCAUGGUAUGCCUAAUCUCAACCAUUUACAAAAUCUUCUCAGCAAACCGAACCAGUGAAUUUUCGUCCUUUAAGAACCAUUGCUCCUAGUAAGGCUGAUGCCCCGAUGAGGUCUUCGGCUAAUAAUCUGACACCAAAGAGCUGUUCAGCUUCGAUUAAUGUUGAAUCUUUGGACAAGGUUUUGAAAAAAAGCAAUCUACAUCAGCAGCGCAGCAGAAGAAGAAACGAGGUUCUUGUGAAAAUCACAGCUAUAAGAACAUUGAUCUCGAGGCUUUCAAGAAGAACCAUGGUCUCGAGAAGUUUGAAGUUCGUUUCUACGGGGAGGGUGAUGAUCCCACUCUUGAGAUGAUACAGGGUUAUAAUUACAGUCACGAUCGUUUAUUGACCACUGUUGGUGUUCUAUAUAAUGAGAAUUUAUGGCAAUGCUUUCACGAGAGUUAUCUUCGCAGUAAAGCUCAGACUACGAUGAAACGCUACGUCCAUGAUCCUCAACAACGAGAUUGAUAUACUCCGGAUAACUUCUACCCCACCUACGCUGACUAUGUGAAUAACCAUAAGAAAUGAAGUGUUGGGCUUCGUUCAAUCAAAGCUAAGCCGGGUGGUUCGUAUUUUAAGUGAAGUGAAUGAUACUAAACCGAAGCAUGUUACUGGUACGGAGAACUUGCCUAUAAACCGAAGGCCUUUCCUCCUAAGGAGCGCCUUCGCGGUGAUCAUGAUCAUAAGUGGCAUCGCACACCACUAAACAUUAUUGGACCUUGGACUUAUGGUUGGGCACCUAAGGAUGAAACUUUAGGUCGAACUGAUCCACCUGAACGCUAUGGUAUCUAUGUUCCCUGAGAGCUGAACUUUACUGGCUUCGGUUGAUUACUCGGCUGCUGAAAUUGCUGAGGAGGAAGGAGAAUAAGAAAGUUCUGAGUUUGUGCUUCCUUUAAAGAGAAAAUCUGCUUAAUCUACUGCAAGCCCCCGAAAAAACUGAGGAUAACUUCUCGUGAAUCCUCAACCGUUGAGGGUGAGGAUACCGAAGCGCAAGAGGUUAACAACCCUAUUAUUAUUGAUGACGAAGAAGGCAGAGAUUCCGAUGAUGAAGAGAACGAUGAGGAGCGAAUUGAAACUACGCCAGAUCCGAUUUCUGAAAUGGAGGAAGAGAGGGAUCUUGGGGGUCGGGAUAAGCCUGCUGAAGUGUUUACAAAUGUUGAUGCUAAACGAUCAACUUCUCAGCCAGCGGGCGAAGAUGUUUCCCAUCCAAUGAACGUCGAUAGUGGUUCUCAGCCUUUGAACCUUUCGAUAGAAGAUUUCCAAGUGUCAGGCGUUGAGUUCUCAUUCGGCAAAAAAUUUCUUGCCGGAGAAUCUGGUUCUCAAUCGGAGAGGACGGUAGUCAUGGGAGUACCACAUGAUUUUAGGGCUAUAAAUGGGUACCCAUUUACCCGGUCACGGCUAAUUCGGGUCCGGUUCCGGGUAAUUAUAUUUGACCCAUUAACAGUUUUAUACCCGAUAAGGACCCGAUACUAAUCGGGUAUUUUUCGUGUCUACCCGACGGGUACCCGCGGUUCUCGGGUACCCGACAAAAUGUAUAAAACCUUAGAAAUAUCCCUGGUACGCCGUCUACAUAUGUUAUACAUGAAAUCUCAAAAACAUAUCUCUCCUAGUCUCAGAAACAUAUCCCUUUCUGUUUCAUAAUAAUCUCACUGUAUCUUAUGAGUUAUAAUCAAUCUUUCCUCCAAGCUCAUACCGUAAUCAAUUUAUCUUCACUAUAUCUAUUUUAUUUUUAUACGCUUUAUUUCUGGAAUUUCUCCGUGGAUCUAAAAAGAACUUCUCUGUGGAUCUAAAAAAUGUUGGUUGAAUUUUUAGGUUGCAUUAUUGCAAAUCAUGAUCUUGAUUAUGGGUUUUAAUUUUUUAAUGUAUAACUUUCUAUAGUAUGACGAUCUGAUUCUGAUAGGCUAGAUUAUUUAGCUACUUUCUUUUCUGUCUACAUGUGUUGGAGAUAAGGACGGGAUCUAAUGUUUACAAAUGACAAGAACAUGUUGGUAAUGCUGUUGUUAAUUUAUGAAUUUGUGGCAAUUCAUGUGAACUUUAGGUUCUGUAAUUAAUUCUAACAGUAGUGGCUCUUAGCAAUUGGGGCUUAAUUUAUCAAAACAAAAUCUAAAAGUGCUUUAGAUUUGAAUGUGAGGAGGACUAAUCUCUCAUCUGAUGUUGAAGAUGGAAGGAGUUGGUUGUUUCUGGUUGAUGGCGGCGUUCAUAGCUAUGGGGAAGAAAAGACUAGCGUUUAGUUGUUCUGAAAAUGUUGUUUAUUUAUGCUUUGAUCACUGAAUCCUAUCUCAGAAGCGUCUUUUGUGUAAAUAUCUUAUAAUACCCGAUAAACACCGGGACCCGACAGUU